rnacentral:rRNA from 1 species
GAUGAACGCUGGCGGCGUGCCUAAUACAUGCAAGUCGAGCGAACGGACGAGAAGCUUGCUUCUCUGAUGUUAGCGGCGGACGGGUGAGUAACACGUGGAUAACCUACCUAUAAGACUGGGAUAACUUCGGGAAACCGGAGCUAAUACCGGAUAAUAUUUUGAACCGCAUGGUUCAAAAGUGAAAGACGGUCUUGCUGUCACUUAUAGAUGGAUCAGCGCUGCAUUAGCUAGUUGGUAAGGUAACGGCUUACCAAGGCAACGAUGCAUAGCCGACCUGAGAGGGUGAUCGGCCACACUGGAACUGAGACACGGUCCAGACUCCUACGGGAGGCAGCAGUAGGGAAUCUUCCGCAAUGGGCGAAAGCCUGACGGAGCAACGCCGCGUGAGUGAUGAAGGUCUUCGGAUCGUAAAACUCUGUUAUUAGGGAAGAACAUAUGUGUAAGUAACUGUGCACAUCUUGACGGUACCUAAUCAGAAAGCCACGGCCAACUACGUG